rnacentral:rRNA from 1 species
UACGUAGGGUGCAAGCGUUGUCCGGAAUUAUUGGGCGUAAAGAGCUCGUAGGCGGUCUGUCGCGUCGGCUGUGAAAACCCGGGGCUCAACCCCGGGCCUGCAGUCGAUACGGGCAGACUAGAGUGCGGUAGGGGAGACUGGAAUUCCUGGUGUAGCGGUGAAAUGCGUAGAGAUCCGGAAGAACACCGGUGGCGAAGGCGGCCUGCUGGGCAGUUUAGCUGACACUGAGGCGCGACAGCGUGGGGAGCAAACAGG